rnacentral:rRNA from 1 species
UUGAAGAGAAGCUUGCUUCUCUGAUGGUUAGCGGCGGACGGGUGAGUAACACGUAGGCAACCUGCCCUCAAGUUUGGGACAACUACCGGAAACGGUAGCUAAUACCGAAUAAUUGUUUUCUUCGCCUGAAGGAAACUGGAAAGACGGAGCAAUCUGUCACUUGGGGAUGGGCCUGCGGCGCAUUAGCUAGUUGGUGAGGUAACGGCUCACCAAGGCGACGAUGCGUAGCCGACCUGAGAGGGUGAUCGGCCACACUGGGACUGAGACACGGCCCAGACUCCUACGGGAGGCAGCAGUAGGGAAUCUUCCGCAAUGGGCGAAAGCCUGACGGAGCAAUGCCGCGUGAGUGAUGAAGGUUUUCGGAUCGUAAAGCUCUGUUGCCAGGGAAGAACGCUUGGGAGAGUAACUGCUCUCAAGGUGACGGUACCUGAGAAGAAAGCCCCGGCUAACUACGUGCCAGCAGCCGCGGUAAUACGUAGGGGGCAAGCGUUGUCCGGAAUUAUUGGGCGUAAAGCGCGCGCAGGCGGUCAUU